rnacentral:rRNA from 1 species
AACGAACGCUAGCUGGAGGCUUAAUACAUGCAAGUCGAGCGGGAUUGGUAGCAAUACCAUGAGAGCGGCGCACGGGUGAGUAACGCGUACACGACCUACCUCUGACAGGGGGAUAGCCCUGGGAAACUGGGAUUAAUACCGCAUAUUAUUCCGAUUAAUAAAGGAUUGGAAUGAAAGUUCAGGCGGUCAGAGAUGGGUGUGCGUCUGAUUAGCUAGUUGGUGGGGUAACGGCCUACCAAGGCGAUGAUCAGUAGGGGGCGUGAGAGGGUGGUCCCCCACACGGGUACUGAGACACGGACCCGACUCCUACGGGAGGCAGCAGUAAGGAAUAUUGGUCAAUGGGCGAAAGCCUGAACCAGCCAUCCAGCGUGCAGGAAGAAGGCCCUAUGGGUUGUAAACUGCUUUUAUCAGGGAAGAAACCUCUGGAUUCACUCCGGAGCUGACGGUACCUGAAGAAUAAGCACCGGCUAACUCCGUGCCAGCCGCCGCCGUAAGAC